rnacentral:rRNA from 1 species
AGAGUUUGAUCCUGGCUCAGGAUGAACGCUGGCGGCAGGCUUAAUACAUGCAAGUCGAACGGUAACAGUAUUAGCAAUAGUAGCUGACGAGUGGCGGAUGGGUGCGUAACGCGUAUGCAACCUACCCUUAACAGGAACAUAACGUUGAGAAAUCGGCGCUAAUAUUCCAUGUGUUUAUGAAGAGGCAUCUUUUUAUAAAUAAAGAUUUAUCGGUUAGGGAUGGGCAUGCGUAUCAUUAGUUAGUUGGUGGGGUAACGGCCUACCAAGACGAUGAUGAUUAGGGGUUCUGAGAGGAUAUCCCCCCACACUGGAACUGAGAACGGUCCAGACUCCUACGGGAGGCAGCAGUAGGGAAUAUUGGGCAAUGGAGGCAACUCUGACCCAGCCAUGCGCGUGAAGGAAGACAGUCUUAUGGAUUGUAAACUUCUUUUAUCAUAGAGUAACCACAGGGACGUGUUCCCUGUCUGCAAGUAUAUGAUGAAUAAGCAUCGGCUAACUCCGUGCCAGCAGCCGCGGUAAUACGGAGGAUGCAAGCGUUAUCCGGAUUUAUUGGGUUUAAAGGGUGCGCAGGCGGUCUGGUAAGUCAUGGGUGAAAUUUUACAGCUUAACUGUAAGCGUGCCUAUGAUACUGCUGGGCUAGAGUUUAAGAGACGUAAUUGGAAUGUGAUGUGUAGCGGUGAAAUGCUUAGAUAUGUCACAGAACGCCGAUCGUGAAGACAGAUUACGAACUUAAUACAGACGCUCAAGCACGAAAGCGUGGGGAUCAAACAGGAUUAGAUACCCUGGUAGUCCACGCUGUAAACGAUGAUCACUCGUUGUUGGAUGGCAACAUUCAGUGGCUAAGG